CAUCCGCAGCAGGUCUCCAAGGUGAACAGCCUCUAGUCGAUGGACCAAUGUAGGUAAGGGAAGUCGGCAAAACGGAUCCGUAACCUUGGGAUAAGGAUUGGCUCUGAGGACUGAGCCGGUCGGGCUGGGGACCUGAAGCAGGAACGGCACUGCACCGGGACUGGGCGGGGCUCGCCGUUCACGCGGCGCGGCCAAGCCCGGACCAGCGUCGGGACCUUCCUGUGGAAAGCCUCAGCUGCGCGGCGUCUGAGGGCUUCGUGCCCAAAGUGCUAUGCUUCGGCCGGCAAAAAACAGUCAACUCAGAACUGGCACGGACCGGGGGAAUCCGACUGUCUAAUUAAAACAAAGCAUUGCGAUGGCCGCUGGUCGGUGUUGACGCAAUGUGAUUUCUGCCCAGUGCUCUGAAUGUCAACGUGAAGAGAUUCAUCAAAGCGCGGGUAAACGGCGGGAGUAACUAUGACUCUCUUGUCGGCCCCGGGUCCAGAUGGCUUCACAGCUCGGCUUCUCAGGGCAGUACCCUCUACCAUCUUGAGGGUGCUGCUCAACCUU
rnacentral:ncRNA from 1 species